UACGGGGGGGGCAAGCGUUGUUCGGAAUUACUGGGCGUAAAGGGCUCGUAGGCGGCCAACUAAGUCGGAUGUGAAAUCCCCAGGCUCAACUUGGGAACUGCAUCCGAUACUGGAUGGCUUGAAUUCGGGAGAGGGAUGCAGAAUUCCAGGUGUAGCGGUGAAAUGCGUAGAUAUCUGGAGGAACACCGGUGGCGAAGGCGGCAUCCUGGACCGGCAUUGACGCUGAGGAGCGAAAGCCAGGGGAGCAAACGGG
rnacentral:rRNA from 1 species